UCGCCAGUGGGAGCGGAAGCUUCUCGGCUCCAUCGAUUUAUGAGUGUUUCCGCCGUUUUUUUUGAGUCCUACACCCGAAAGCGGCAUAUCAUCUGAAAGUUCAAGUCAUCGCGAACCCAGGGAUACCAACUUUUUGGGACUCAAGGCAGCUCCAGACACGAGUGACGUCGAGAUCCAUGCCGUCACGGUCGUAUCAGCACUCGGCGAGUCCUGUUGAAGAUGGCCGGUCUCCUGUGGAACUGCUGCAAGGAAGGCGGCUACGCACACCAUUGCCGGAAUUCAAUCCGAUGUCGGCGACUGUCGUCAAGAAACACCGGCAGAGAAGUCAUCAUAGGCGCACCUUACCAGACCUCAGUAACAAUGACGCGGUACGCUUGAAUGGAACAUCGUGGGCCAGGAAAGCCAAGGUGGUCGGGUCGGCCGGCCCACGAUCCUUCUAUGUGCGCACAGAGAACAAUACUGUGCUGAGACGCAACCGUCGGCAUCUUCUGGCGACGAAGGAAUCGUAUGAGGUUGGCUCAACAAACGACGAAGAUAUGACCGACAACCAGACCCCAUUUCAAGGUGUGGCGUCAACUACUACUGCAGCCUCGCCCGUGGUAGCUCAACAGCCGUCGCCUCAGCCAUUGCGACGCAGUCAACGACAGACGCGGCAGCCAGAGCGUCUGGGUUAUGACCAGCAGUUCCAGCAGACGAGCCAGCGGUAUUAAUUAUUACUGUUUGGAAAGAGGAUGUAUCAUAUCUGAUGAAAGCGCAUGUGCUAUCUACAUGCACGAUUGCCACGUGCAUAUACCCGCCCCUCACUAUUACUAACCCUUUCCCGCUUCGUCUAUAAAUAACGAUGCAGAAUAAAGGCGGAAUAA